AUUGAACGCUAGCGGGAUGCUUUACACAUGCAAGUCGAACGAGUGGCGGACGGGUGAGUAAUAUAUCGGAACGUGCCCAGUAGCGGGGGAUAACUACUCGAAAGAGUGGCUAAUACCGCAUAAUAUUGGAUGGGCCGAUAUCGGUUGGGCUAGUUGGGGGGGUAAAGGCUCACCAAGGCAAGGAUCCGUAGCUGGUCUGAGAGGACGACCAGCAACGCUGGGACUGGGACACGGCCCAUACGCCUACUGGAGGCAGCAGUGGGGAAUUUUGGACAAUGGGGGAAAGCCUGAUCCAGCCAUCCCGCGUGUAUGAGAAGGCCUUCGGGUUGUAAAGUACUUUUGGCAGAGAAGCGGUAUCUGCAGAAUAAGCACCGGCUAACUACGUGCCAGCCGCCGCGGUAAUUC
rnacentral:rRNA from 1 species